rnacentral:rRNA from 1 species
CAAUCACUUGUCUUUUAAAUGGAGACCUGUAUGAAUGGCAUCACGAGGGCUUGACUGUCUCCUUUCCCUGGUCAAUGAAAUUGAUCUCCCCGUGCAGAAGCGGGGAUACGCACAUAAGACGAGAAGACCCUAUGAAGCUUUAGACACAAGGGAGACUACCUUAAUUACCCCUGGAUAAAGGGCAAAAGCUAAAGGUACCCCUCCCCAGCGUCUUUGGUUGGGGCGACCGCGGGGUAAAACAAAACCCCCAUGUGGAAUAGGAGCACCCCUCCUUCAACCAAGAGCUCCCGCUCUAAGGAACAGAACUUUUGACCAAUCAAUGAUCCGGCAUCGCCGAUCAACGAACCGAGUUACCCUAGGGAUAACAGNGCAAUCCCCUUUUAGAGCCC